rnacentral:rRNA from 1 species
UGGGGAAUAUUGGACAAUGGGCGCAAGCCUGAUCCAGCCAUGCCGCGUGAGUGAUGAAGGCCCUAGGGUUGUAAAGCUCUUUCACCGGUGAAGAUAAUGACGGUAACCGGAGAAGAAGCCCCGGCUAACUUCGUGCCAGCAGCGGCGGUAAUACGAAGGGGGCUAGCGUUGUUCGGAUUUACUGGGCGUAAAGCGCACGUAGGCGGACUUUUAAGUCAGGGGUGAAAUCCCGGGGCUCAACCCCGGAACUGCCUUUGAUACUGGAAGUCUUGAGUAUGGUAGAGGUGAGUGGAAUUCCGAGUGUAGAGGUGAAAUUCGUAGAUAUUCGGAGGAACACCAGUGGCGAAGGCGGCUCACUGGACCAUUACUGACGCUGAGGUGCGAAAGCAUGGGGAGCAAACAGG